rnacentral:rRNA from 1 species
AUUGAACGCUGGCGGCAUGCUUUACACAUGCAAGUCGAACGGUAACAGGCCGCAAGGUGCUGACGAGUGGCGAACGGGUGAGUAAUGCAUCGGAACGUGCCCAGUCGUGGGGGAUAACUACUCGAAAGAGUAGCUAAUACCGCAUACGAUCUAUGGAUGAAAGCGGGGGACCGUAAGGCCUCGCGCGAUUGGAGCGGCCGAUGUCAGAUUAGGUAGUUGGUGGGUAAAGGCUCACCAAGCCAACGAUCUGUAGCUGGUCUGAGAGGACGACCAGCCACACUGGGACUGAGACACGGCCCAGACUCCUACGGGAGGCAGCAGUGGGGAAUUUUGGACAAUGGGCGCAAGCCUGAUCCAGCAAUGCCGCGUGCAGGAAGAAGGCCUUCGGGUUGUAAACUGCUUUUGUACGGAACGAAACGGCUCUGGUUAAUACCCGGGGCUAAUGACGGUACCGUAAGAAUAAGCACCGGCUAACUACGUG